AUGAACGCUGGCGGCGUGCCUAAUACAUGCAAGUCGAGCGAACGGACGAGAAGCUUGCUUUUCUGAUGUUAGCGGCGGACGGGUGAGUAACACGUGGAUAACCUACCUAUAAGACUGGGAUAACUUCGGGAAACCGGAGCUAAUGCCGGAUAAUAUUUUGAGCCGCAUGGUUCAAAAGUGAAAGACGGUCUUGCUGUCACUUAUAGAUGGAUCCGCGCUGCAUUAGCUAGUUGGUAAGGUAACGGCUUACCAAGGCAACGAUGCAUAGCCGACCUGAGAGGGUGAUCGGCCACACUGGAACUGAGACACGGUCCAGACUCCUACGGGAGGCAGCAGUAGGGAAUCUUCCGCAAUGGGCGAAAGCCUGACGGAGCAACGCCGCGUGAGUGAUGAAGGUCUUCGGAUCGUAAAACUCUGUUAUUAGGGAAGAACAUAUGUGUAAGUAACUGUGCACAUCUUGACGGUACCUAAUCAGAAAGCCACGGCUAACUACGUG
rnacentral:rRNA from 1 species